rnacentral:rRNA from 1 species
CCCUUAGAUGUUCUGGGCCGCACGCGCGCUACACUGACGGAUUCAACGAGCUUACAACCUUGGCCGAAAGGUCUGGGUAAUCUCCAAAAUCCGUCGUGAUGGGGAUAGAUUAUUGCAAUUAUUAAUCUUCAACGAGGAAUGCCUAGUAAGCGCAAGUCAUCAGCUUGCGUUGAUUACGUCCCUGCCCUUUGUACACACCGCCCGUCGCUACUACCGAUUGGAUGGUUUAGCGAGAACUUUGGACCGGAGCUCGGGUGGUCAGCAAUGGCCGCCCGAGACAUACUGGGAAAUCGCUCCAGCUUGAUCAUCUAGAGGAAGUAAAAGUCGUAACA